rnacentral:lncRNA from 1 species
CAAUGUCAUACAGCUUCUUCACAGCCUGUUUAAUCUGGUGCUUGUUGGCUUUAACAUCCACAAUGAACACAAGUGUGUUGUUGUCUUCUAUCUUCUUCAUGGCAGACUCAGUGGUCAGCGGAAACUUGAUGAUAGCAUAGUGGUCAAGCUUGUUUCUCCUGGGAGCGCUCUUCCGAGGAUAUUUGGGCUGUCUCCGGAGUCGCAGUGUCUUCGGCCGCCGGAAGGUGGGUGACGUGCGGAUCUUCUUCUUUUUGUGGCUGUGGACACCUUUCAACACUGCCUUCUUGGCCUUUAAAGCCUUCGCUUUGGCUUCA